CCUACGGGAGGCAGCAGUGAGGAAUAUUGGUCAAUGGACGAGAGUCUGAACCAGCCAAGUAGCGUGAAGGAUGACUGCCCUCUGGGUUGUAAACUUCUUUUAUAAAGGAAUAAAACGAGGCACGUGUGCCUUUUUGCAUGUAUUUUAUGAAUAAGGAUAGGCUAACUCCGUGCCAGCAGCCGCGGUAAUACGGAGGAUCCGAGCGUUAUCCGGAUUUAUUGGGUUUAAAGGGAGCGUAGAUGGGUUGUUAAGUCAGUUGUGAAAGUUUGCGGCUCAACCGUAAAAUGGCAAUUGAUACUGGCAGUCUUGGGGACAGUUGAGGUAGGCGGAAGUCGUGGGGUGGCGGUGAAAUGCU
rnacentral:rRNA from 1 species